rnacentral:rRNA from 1 species
GCGCAGCAGUUGCGAAAACUUGUCAAUGCACGAAAGUGUGAACGGGCUACCCCGAGUGCCGUCCGCUGAGGAUGGCUUUUCUCUGCUGUAAGAAGGCAGAGGAAUAAGGAGAGGGCAAGUCUGGUGUCAGCCGCCGCGGUAAUACCAGCUCUCCGAGUGGUAGGGAUGAUUAUUGGGCUUAAAGCGUCCGUAGCUGGCCUUUCAAGUCUCUUGUUAAAUCCAACGAUUCAAUCGUUGGACUGCGGGAGAUACUGUUAGGCUAGGGGGCGGGAGAAGCCGACGGUAUUUCCGGGGUAGGGGUAAAAUCCUAUAAUCCCGGGAAGACCACCAGUGGCGUAGGCGGUCGGCUAGCACGCGCUCGACAGUGAGGGACGAAAGCUGGGGUAGCGAACCGGAUUAGAUACCCGGGUAGUCC